rnacentral:rRNA from 1 species
CAUGCAGUCGACGGUAACAGGAAAAGCUUGCUGUUUCGCUGACGAGUGGCGGACGGGUGAGUAAUGUCUGGGAAACUGCCUGAUGGAGGGGGAUAACUACUGGAAACGGUAGCUAAUACCGCAUAACGUCGCAAGACCAAAGAGGGGGACCUUCGGGCCUCUUGCCAUCGGAUGUGCCCAGAUGGGAUUAGCUAGUAGGUGGGGUAACGGCUCACCUAGGCGACGAUCCCUAGCUGGUCUGAGAGGAUGACCAGCCACACUGGAACUGAGACACGGUCCAGACUCCUACGGGAGGCAGCAGUGGGGAAUAUUGCACAAUGGGCGCAAGCCUGAUGCAGCCAUGCCGCGUGUAUGAAGAAGGCCUUCGGGUUGUAAGCNUUUUUCCGCGGGGGAGGAAGGGAGUAAAGUUAAUACCUUUGCUCAUUGACGUUACCCGCAGAAGAAGCACCGGCUAACCCCGUGCCAGCAGCCGCGGUAAUACGGAGGGUCCGAGCGUUAAUCGGAAUUACUGGGCGUAAAGCGUGCGCAGGCGGUUUGUUAAGCGAGAUGUGAAAGCCCUGGGCUCAACCUAGGAAUAGCAUUUCGAACUGGCGAACUAGAGUCUUGUAGAGGGGGGUAGAAUUCCAGGUGUAGCGGUGAAAUGCGUAGAGAUCUGGAG